rnacentral:lncRNA from 1 species
GUUUUAAUUUCAUCAUUCGCCGCCUGAAGAGACAAGAUGGCGGAGCUUGCGAAAUCGAAAAUUGGUACUUGAAAGUCAAUGGUUGAUCAUGAUGACCAUCUUUAAUUUAAUGGGGAAAGAUUAACCAAUAUUUGCAGCUGGAGAGGCUAUCACCACAGUUCAAUGAUUUAGUUAAGACAAUGAAAUAGAAGAACUUCAUGCUAACACUUGCAUCAGUGGAAGUACUUCUUAUUGGAUAGAGAACUUUACAAGGUCAGCCAUCAGCUUUUGAAGUUGCUUUCUUGGCACAUCAUGCUGUCCAGUGGAGUUCAUACCAUAUGCCAGGCCUUUAUACAUGGUCAAAGAAGAUGAAUUUGUUAUUCAAUUUGUGAAAUUUGAUUUAAGGAGGACUUUCAUAUAUGAUGAUUAUAUUCAGCGGAUUAUCUUCAAGUGUGCACUUCAUAGAAUCACAGUUUCUAGGAGGUUUUCAGUUUAAAGUUAGAUUGAUUGAAAAAUAAGUAAACCUAUCAUACUCGCCAUGGCAUCGGCAUUGGCAUUACACCAGUUUUAAGUUUUUCUUACCAGUCCAUAUUUUAAAAGGACCUUUUGAAAGUAUUGAAAC